rnacentral:rRNA from 1 species
GAUGAACGCUAGCGAUAGGCCUAACACAUGCAAGUCGAGGGGCAUCACAUGAGGCAGCAAUGCCGAUGGUGGCGACCGGCGCACGGGUGAGUAACACGUAUGCAACCUGCCUUCAACAAGGGGAUAACCCGUUGAAAAACGGACUAAUACCCUAUAAUACAGGGGUCCCGCAUGGGGAUAUUUGUUAAAGAUUGAUCGGUUGAAGAUGGGCAUGCGUUCCAUUAGCUGGUUGGUGAGGUAACGGCUCACCAAGGCAACGAUGGAUAGGGGAACUGAGAGGUUUAUCCCCCACACUGGUACUGAGACACGGACCAGACUCCUACGGGAGGCAGCAGUGAGGAAUAUUGGUCAAUGGACGCAAGUCUGAACCAGCCACGUCGCGUGAAGGAAGACGGCCCUACGGGUUGUAAACUUCUUUUAACGGGAAUAAAGUGCCCCACGCGUGGGGUUUUGCAUGUACCGUAUGAAUAAGGAUCGGCUAACUCCGUGCCAGCAGCCGCGGU